UACGAAGGGGGCGAGCGUUGUUCGGAUUUACUGGGCGUAAAGGGCGCGCAGGCGGCUUUGUUUGUCAGGCGUGAAAGCCCCGGGCUUAACCUGGGAACUGCGUUUGAUACGGCAGGGCUAGAGUUCGGGAGAGGAGCGUGGAAUUCCCAGUGUAGAGGUGAAAUUCGUAGAUAUUGGGAAGAACACCGGUGGCGAAGGCGGCGCUCUGGACCGAGACUGACGCUGAGGCGCGAAAGCGUGGGGAGCAAACAGA
rnacentral:rRNA from 1 species